CAGAAUCAGACUCAAUUGUGGCAUCUACGUCUUGGUCAUACGAGUGAAAGAGGAUUAUCUGUGUUGAGCAAGCGGGAUUUAUUGAAUGGACAGAAAACAGAAUCUGUGGAUUUUUGUGAACAUUGUGUGUUUGGAAAACAGGCAAGGGUGAAGUUCGAUAAAAAGGCAGUGCGCAAGACUAGAGGAACAGUGGAUUAUAUCCACUCAGAUCUAUGGGGUCCUAACAGAAUCCCUUCCAAGAGCAGUGCUAGGUACUUCAUGACUUUGA
rnacentral:misc_RNA from 1 species